rnacentral:rRNA from 1 species
GCAAGUCGAACGAGAAUCCCUUCGGGGAGGACAGUGGCGCACGGGUGCGUAACACGUGGAUAAUCAACCCCUUUGUCUGGGACAACCCGAGGAAACUCGGGCUAAUACCGGAUAAGUCGUAAGUUUCUUAGGGAGCAUACGGGAAAGACCCGCAAGGGUUGCUAAGGGACGAGUCCGCGGUCCAUCAUGGUAGUUGGUGAGGUAAUGGCUCACCAAGCCUAAGACGGAUAGCUGGUCUGAGAGGAUGAUC